rnacentral:rRNA from 1 species
AAGCAUAUAAAUAUGCGGAGGAAAAGAAACCAAAUGGGAUCCCUAAGUAAUGGCGAAUGAAAGGGGGUAAGCUCAUUGCAAAGGCUUAUCAAGUGAAUUACUUUGAUACGNCAGUGUUGCAUUAAUACAGUGCGAUUAAUGUUGUAUAAAACAUCGCUACAUAUUCCUUUGAAUGGGGUCUUAUACCCCAUAGACGGUGCUAGGCCCGUUAGUUGCUGAUGUAUUUAGUCACAAUCUCCUGUAUAUUAGAGUCAGGUUGCUUGAGAGUGCAACCUAAAUUUGCAGGUAAACUCCUGCAAAAGCUAAAUAUUCUGAUGAUACCGAUAGUAAACAAGUACCGUGAGGGAAAGUUGCAAAGAACUUUGAAGAGAGAGUUCAAAAGGACGUGAAACCACUUGCAAGUAAACAGAUGGAACCACGAAGUGUAGCUGAGAGGAGAAUUCAUUUUUACUCUAGGUGCAAUUGUAGUUUGAGAGUAGUAUGCUUACUUUGCUCNCAGUUUAUAGCUGCUUGUUACGUAAAGCAUUAGCUCUUCUAUAAUGUAACAUUUUACUCUAUUGUNCCUUAUAUAUUUAUAGAUGAGCAAUUUAUAAAUAUAUAUAUAUAGUAAAUGCAUUUUCACUCUUCUCACGCUCGANCCUUGUACAAUGGGGUUUUAAACUNAAAGGAAAAUAUUACAUAGAAAUUAUAUUCUAUGUAUUCAGUAGUAUAGAGUUCAUUUAUUCUAGAAAAUAAUUUUUUCUAGUUUUAAAUGUUUACUAUGCUUUGCUGUUUAGUAUUAUUAUUAUUAUUUUGUUAAUUCUCUUCUGAUAGAAGGUUUAGCAAAAUAUUAAAUACUAAAAAAAUAUAUUUUCCACCCUAUUGUUAAUGAAAGUUUCUCUAAGGAGAAUGAUACUAACUGAUCAUAAUGCUAAAAGGUAGGAUAUCUUUUUGUCAUAUUUGUCUAUUAAUCGUAAAUUGGGAUAAUUGUAUUCAUCUAUUGAAUGAGAAUUCCUGAUUAAUAGACUGACUGAAUAUGCAUUAGAUAAAUCUAUUGUAUGUUUAAUAUUUGCUAUUUUUAUUCCAAUUUUUUUGUAAUAAAAAUACAAGUAUUAUUACAUUCUACCUGUAAAAUUGCUUCAUAUUGUAUUUAAUUUUUCUACUUUCUAUUUAUAGUAGUAUGUUAUGUUAUGUUUGUGAAAAAUUUAUUCCAUUUUUCUCAUUUCAUCUCAUAACUACUACUCUAUAAAACUAGGAGGUAGUUAAAUAAUAAUAAUAAUAAAUACUUAUGUUGCAUGAAAUCUAAGGCCAGUAGAUCGGUAAUCCAUCUGACCCGUCUUGAAACACGGGAACCAAGGA